GAUGAACGCUGGCGGCGUGCCUAAUACAUGCAAGUCGAGCGAACUUUUGGGAGCUUGCUCCCAAAAGUUAGCGGCGGACGGGUGAGUAACACGUGGGUAACCUGCCUGUAAGACUGGGAUAACUUCGGGAAACCGGGGCUGAUACCGGAUAACAUUGAAGUCCACAUGGCCUUCAAUUAAAAGUUGGCGUUUGGCUACCACUUACAGAUGGACCCGCGGCUCAUUAGCUAGUUGGUGAGGUCACGGCUCACCAAGGCGACGAUGCGUAGCCGACCUGAGAGGGGGAUCGGCGACACUGGGACUGAGACACGGCACAGACCCCUACGGGAGGCAGCAGUAGGGAAUCUUCCGCAAUGGACGAAAGUCUGACGGAGCAACGCCGCGUGAGCGAAGAAGGCCGUCGGGUCGGAAAGCUCUGUUGUUAGGGAAGAACAAGUAUCGUUCGAAUAGGGCGGUACCUUGACGGUACCUAACCAGAAAGCCACGGCUAACUACGUG
rnacentral:rRNA from 1 species